GUUAUACUCCCUCCGUCCGGAAAUACUUGUCCGAGAAAUGCAUGUAUCUAGACUUAUUUUAGUUAUAGAUACAUUCAUUUUAUUCAUUUCUAGGACAAGUAUUUUCGGAUAGAGGGAGUAUUAA
rnacentral:pre_miRNA from 1 species